GCUUAUUAAAGCAAUGAUUGUUUUGGACCACAAAGCACCAUCCACCCUGCUACUCUGUUUGUUUAAAUUAAUUGGAAGAAGAGAAAUCCAACCAGUGAUCACGCUACGAAGUUGGCAUGGUUGAUCGGACAAUCAGAGGAGCUUUCAUGGUCCUGAAAUAUCUGGCGCUCGUCGUGUUAAGAUGUACAGGGUCUGAGACAAUUGACUUUGUAGUUUAGGCUACCUAUAAAUCCAGAAGAUGACUGGUAAAUCCAAAUAUGAUAUCAGAGUCCACGAAGAAUAUUCCCAGAUCUAUGAGACUGGGGUUGGGCUUGUCAGCUCCAGAGGAGCCCGAGGAGUUUGGUAAAGCCAUGAGGGAAAAGUGCGUAAUAUUCCACACCCCGGGUUACCGAAUUGACAUCUAUAUUUGUCUAUUCAUUUCCAUUUCAGGAGAUAUUUUCAUAGACCCCAAAACAUAGCAUGAUUUCAAUUCAAAAGCUAUUCCGGACAUCCAACAAUGACUCAGAGAGAGCUCAGUCUCUCCAUGACCACCACUCAAUGCCUAACAAUUGCGGCGUGAGCGCAAAUAUAUAUUUCCCGUGCAUGGCCAGCAGUCCAGCAAGACAAUAAACCAAUACAAUCCAUCCGUAAUCGAUACUUUUAUAUCCACAGGUAUAGACAUGUUUUACCCAUCCUUGGACUCAUGCCUGGUCUUUCAGCUCGUAGGUCUCGGAACGAAAUCACAUGUGCCUAAGGAGGACCACCUUUUGCAGUCCCACACCCCUCUCUCUACCUUUUUCCUCCUCUCUCACCCGCUCACUCGCCCAGUCGGGCAAUUCCCCUGUCAGUCAGCGGUUUACUUAGUUUACUACCGACUUGCUAGAGGCUCCAACAUUAAUUUAUCAUGAAAAUGAAAUAACUGGCAAGUUUUAACUAGCCGCUUAACAAGUGUCUAUGGUAUUAAAUCAUUGUUGACCUCUAAACAUUAAUUUAUCAACGCAAACACGCACGAGAGACCUGCGUAAUGCAACAGCUUCGCAAUGAGCCG
ensembl:lncRNA